GUCGGCUUGACCGACUAUGGCGAUAAAUGGGCGAUGAAAUAAGCCGUUCGGACCCGGGGGCGGUACCCGGCGCCUCCACCA
rnacentral:tmRNA from 4 species